rnacentral:misc_RNA from 1 species
UGGAGGUUUAGUCAGAUGAGGAGGGAGUAUGGGAAGCAUUGGUGGUGGAUUUCUUUCUUCGCCGUCUUCUUCUCGCAGCAGAUCUUUCUGAUUGGCAUAUGCCUUCCAAUGUAUGCUGUUCACUUGAGCGAUAAACCUUGGAGUGUCUGGGACUCCAUCGCCACGAUCGUCUGCAUAACUGGCGUCAUUAUUGCCUACUUUGCA